CCUGACCUCGGAUCAGUCGUGAGUACCCGCUGA
rnacentral:rRNA from 1 species